AGCAUUUUGGAGACCAUCACAUGGAUAGCAUGAUGCAAUUUGUGUCCUGUAUAUUGAAGGAAUCCGGGAGAAUAAAGGAAAAUCGGAAGAACAAGCAUUGGAAAUAAUAAGCUGGAUAUAAUCUCUGAACUGAAGAGAAUUUGGCACUGGUGUCACUGCUAGAUCAAUCACAUUGAAUAACUCCGGCCAGG